AACAUGAUACGAUAAGACCACAUUCAUGGUACAUUGAUAUGUUGGUGUUGGAUGUUCAGAGACGUAGUACUGUAAUGAAAAGAAAUGUAGAUGAUUUGUUUGGUACCAGCUGCUAGUUUCCUGCUCACAUAUUAUUGGUUCCUUCAAGUAACUGACUCAAACAUCUAAACUACCACUAUGGCUGCCAACUUUUGGAGUGGAGAAGCCAUUACAGCUGAGCGAAAGGACAUACCGUCGGCCAGCUGUAUGGCGGUGAGCCAGGACGGCGGCCACGCGCUGCUGGCCAGCCGGCGC
rnacentral:lncRNA from 1 species